GUUCAACAUCAAACUGAUCCUGUCAGGCCAGGUGUUCAACAUCAAACUGUCCCUGUCAGGCCAGGUGUCAACAUCAAACUGAUCCUGUCAGGCCAGGUGUUCAACAUCAAACUGAUCCUGUCAGGCCAGGUGUUCAACAUCAAACAUCAAACUGUCCCUGUCAGGCCAGGUGUUCAACAUCAAACUGAUCCUGUCAGGCCAGGUGUUCAACAUCAAACUGAUCCUGUCAGGCCAGGUCUUCAACAUCAAACAUCAAACUGUCCCUGUCAGGCCAGGUGUUCAACAUCAAACUGAUCCUGUCAGGCCAGGUGUUCAACAUCAAACUGAUCCUGUCAGGCCAGGUGUUCAACAUCAAACAUCAAACUGUUCCUGUCAGGCCAGGUGUUCAACAUCAAAC
ensembl:lncRNA